CAGCAGCCACGGUAAUACGUAGGUCCCGAGCGUUGUCCGGAUUUAUUGGGCGUAAAGCGAGCGCAGGCGGUUAGAUAAGUCUGAAGUUAAAGGCUGUGGCUUAACCAUAGUACGCUUUGGAAACUGUUUAACUUGAGUGCAAGAGGGGAGAGUGGAAUUCCAUGUGUAGCGGUGAAAUGCGUAGAUAUAUGGAGGAACACCGGUGGCGAAAGCGGCUCUCUGGCUUGUAACUGACGCUGAGGCUCGAAAGCGUGGGGAGCAAACAGGAUUAGAUACCCGGGUAGUCCCUGUCUCUUAUACC
rnacentral:rRNA from 1 species